rnacentral:rRNA from 1 species
UACGAAGGGGGGCUAGCGUUGCUCGGAAUUACUGGGCGUAAAGGGAGCGUAGGCGGAUAGUUUAGUCAGAGGUGAAAGCCCAGGGCUCAACCCUGGAAUUGCCUUUGAUACUGGCGGCCUUGAGUAUGGCAGAGGUGUGUGGAACUCCGAGUGUAGAGGUGAAAUUCGUAGAUAUUCGGAAGAACACCAGUGGCGAAGGCGACACACUGGGCCAUUACUGACGCUGAGGCGCGAAAGCGUGGGGGAGCAAACAGG